ACACGUACGUUAGGGGAUACAGUAAUCAAGCAGGCGGUUCCCCCAGGGAGAGGCCGCUCCACUGCACUGCGGAGUGGUUGACCCUUGCGAUUAUCCCUAAUGCGGAUAGCUCGGACGCGUCAUUUUUGGUAGUGGGGACGCGCUGUCCCCU
rnacentral:snRNA from 1 species